rnacentral:misc_RNA from 1 species
UUGAAGUUGCAAGAUUAUGGCAAGAACCCAGCUGGGGAAACAGAAGUUCAGUUUAGACUUACAAGAGUCGCUCUGGAGCCAAUGCUGAAUUCCAUGGUUUGCAUAAGUCAACAGCUUUCCCUGCCGGCAAAUAGAGUAGCUGUUAUUAAUUUAAAGCUUCAAGAUACUAAGACACCUUCUGGAGAGACUGAAGUGAAAUUUCAAGUUUCAA